AUGGAAUUUAGGGCGCGAAUUCGCCCUUCAGGCCUAACACAUGCAAGUCGAACGGAGCAUUUCGGUGCUCAGUGGCGCACGGGUGCAUAACACGUAGCUCAUCUGCCCUGGAGCGCGGGAUAACGUGCGGAAACGCACGCUAAUACCGCCUACGGUCACUGGUUGUAGAAGCCAGUGAAGAAAGGCGCAAGCCACUCUGGGAGGAGGCUGCGGCCCAUCAGGUAGUUGGUGUGGUAAAGGCGCACCAAGCCGACGACGGGUCGGGGGUCUGAGAGGAUGACCCCCCACACUGGGACUGAGACACGGCCCAGACUCCUACGGGAGGCAGCAGUGAGGGAUAUUGCGCAAUGGGGGAAACCCUGACGCAGCGACGCCGCGUGGGCGAUGAAGGCUUUCGGGUCGUAAAGCCCUUUUCCCACUGAGGAGAACGGACAGUAGGUGGGGAAUAAGUCUCGGCUAACUACGUGCCAGCAGCCGCGGUAAAACGUAGGAGGCGAGCGUUAUCCGGAGUUACUGGGCGUAAAGCGCGUGCAGGCGGUUCGGUAAGUGGCGGGUGAAAGCACCUGGCUCAACCAGGCGAGUGCCGGUCAGACUGCUGGACUGGAAUGUCGGAGAGGGACGCGGAAUUCCGGGUGUAGCGGUGAAAUGUGCAGAGAUCCGGAGGAACACCAGCGCCGAAAGGGGCGUCCUGGACGACAAUUGACGCUGAGACGCGACAGCGUGGGGAGCGAACGGGAUUAGAGACCCCGGUAGUCCACGCCGUAAACGAUGCCAACUUGAUGUCGGUGCCGCGAAAGCGGUUUCGGUGUCCAAGUUAACGCGAUAAGUUGGCCGCCUGGGAGUACGGUCGCAAGGCUAAAACUCAAAGGAAUUGACGGGGGCCCGCGCAAGCAGCGGAGC
rnacentral:rRNA from 1 species